rnacentral:ncRNA from 1 species
CGCGGGCGCAGGAAAUUUGAGAGGAGCUGUCCUUAGUACGAGAGGACCGGGAUGGACGUACCGCUGGUGUACCAGUUGUCUCGCCAGAGGCACGGCUGGAUAGCCAAGUACGGCAGGGAUAAGCGCUGAAAGCAUCUAAGCGUGAAGCCCCCCUCAAGAUGAGAUUUCCCAGUAUGUAAGACCCCUUGUAGACGACGAGGUAGAUAGGUUCGGGGUGGAAGCGCGGCAACGUGUGGAGCUGACGAAUACUAAUCGGUCGAGGGCUUAUCCUA